CCCUUAGAUGUUCUGGGCUGCACGCGCGCUACACUGACGCACGCAACAGGUGCCUGCUCCGAGAGGACUGGGUAAUCAUUUGAGUGUGCGUCGUGAUGGGGAUAGAAUAUUGUAAUUAUUACUCUUCAACGAGGAAUUCCUAGUAAGCGCCAGUCAGCAGCUUGCGCUGAUUACGUCCCUGCCCUUUGUACACACCGCCCGUCGCUCCUACCGAUGGGUGAUCCGGUGAAUGAUUCGGACUUCAGCGGCUCCCCUGGGGUGCGCCGGAGAAAGUUUUGUGAACCUUAUCACUUGGAGGAAGGAGAAGGCGUAACA
rnacentral:rRNA from 1 species